rnacentral:lncRNA from 1 species
AUUAGCUGGGCUCCUGAGGAAAAGCGGCGGCCGGGGAACUGGGCCUGCGCAGCUGCUUCCUGCCCAGCCGGGGGACCCCAGAGCGUCAGGCCACACACCACCUGGGAAGAGGCUCUCCACUCGCUCGGGCGCCUGGAGGGGGACCGCGGGCUGAGGACGCGCCGGCGCGCGGUAAGGCCCUUCUGCCU